CUACGGGUUGCUGCAGUGAGGAAUUUUGCGCAAUGGGGGAAACCCUGACGCAGCAACGCCGCGUGAGUGAUGAAGGCCCUCGGGUCGUAAAGCUCUGUCAAGUGGGAAGAAUCUAUCGAUAUUGAAUAGAUAUUGAUACCGACGGUACCACAAGAGGAAGCACCGGCUAACUCCGUGCCAGCAGCCGCGGUAAUACGGGGGGUGCAAGCGUUAUUCGGAAUCAUUGGGCGUAAAGGGCGCGCAGGCGGCCUUGUCAGUCAGAUGGGAAAGCCCGGGGCUCAACCCCGGAAGUGCAUUUGAAACUAUGAGGCUUGAGUAUGGGAGAGGGAAGUGGAAUUCCUGGUGUAGCGGUGAAAUGCGUAGAUAUCAGGAGGAACACCGGUGGCGAAGGCGACUUCCUGGACCAAUACUGACGCUGAGGCGCGAAGGCGUGGGGAGCAAACAGGAUUAGAUACCCCCGUAGUC
rnacentral:rRNA from 1 species